UUUUUAUGGAGAGUUUGAUCCUGGCUCAGGAUGAACGCUGGCGGCGUGCCUAAUACAUGCAAGUCGAGCGAACAGACGAGGAGCUUGCUCCUCUGACGUUAGCGGCGGACGGGUGAGUAACACGUGGAUAACCUACCUAUAAGACUGGGAUAACUUCGGGAAACCGGAGCUAAUACCGGAUAAUAUAUUGAACCGCAUGGUUCAAUAGUGAAAGACGGUUUUGCUGUCACUUAUAGAUGGAUCCGCGCCGCAUUAGCUAGUUGGUAAGGUAACGGCUUACCAAGGCAGCGAUGCGUAGCCGACCUGAGAGGGUGAUCGGCCACACUGGAACUGAGACACGGUCCAG
rnacentral:rRNA from 1 species